ACCUGUUGUGCCCAUGCUUGAUGCAAUCUCCUCCGCAAAUUUUGUUACUUUUUCGGUGAUAGCUGGAGACUUUUUCCUUCUUUAAAAUUUUAUUAUUUUUUUGUGAUUAUUUUUGGAGUGGAUAAUUUUUUUCUUAUUUGUGUGAUAUGUCUGAAAUGUUUUUAUUUAAUUUUCUAAUUCCAAAGAGACUUCAAUUCCUUGAUAAUAUCAUACAGGGAAUUUGGAUUCACUUCCAAUCCAGAUUCGUUUAUGAAGUCAAGUGAUAAGCACAAAAUUUCCUUCAUACUAUAACACUAGGAAAUAAAAAAAUGAAACAAAAUAUAAAAGGAUUUUGAUGGUAAAACUAUUGAAUUUUGAGUUUGAUUGGUGUAUUUCUCAAUUAAUAUGCCAAAAUGCCACUUAACUCUAAUAAGCCUACCACAUAAAAAAAUAAAUAUGAUAGAAUUCUACUCAGUAUUACUAUUGUAUCAAUGAAACAUGAAAGUUUGAAGAUGAGAUAAUAUAUAAAUGUACUCUACAGAAGCAUAUUGUGAAAGCAAACGUGAUUGAAAAUAUUUGAAGGAAUAUAAAAUUUCAGAAAAGUUUUCAUGAUAAAAUAUUGAAAGAAAUAAGAAUACUCGAAAGCAAGAGAAAACAUCACAAUAAAUGAUGAAGUUGAAUUUUAAAAUUUUAAAAUAAAUUUCAAUUGUGUUUUUUAUUUUUUAUUUUCUUAUAAAAGAUAAAAAAAGUAAAAUUACGUGAUAAAAAUGGAAUAAGAAAUUAAAAGAAUGCAAAUAAUUCAGUUAAAACAAUUAUCAUUUUGGUUCUUUUCCUUGGGUUUGAUUGAAUCUCAUUAGUACAACAACAUGACUUUUGUCAAUUCAGGCUUCUUAACUUGGCCUUUUCUAAAUAACAAAUCAAUCAAUUUACCAUAUUGUGUAAAUCUUGAUGAAUAUUAACUUAACAGUUACCAUGACAUCAUAUUUGUGAGCUUGAUACAUGAGUUUUAUACAUAUUUAUUUCCAUGUUUAAAAAUGAUGAAAUAUAAAGUUGAUCACUGCUAAUUGAAUAUAACUAUUACAUGUUACUUUAAAAGACAAUUUAUUUCAUAUAAAAAACAACUCAAUGGAUAAACCAACAAGAUAAAUCAAUGGAGACAAAAACUAUCUCUAAUUUGUUGCAUAUCUCAUUGUUUUCAUCAAAAGUUAAGCAAUCAGAGAUCAAAAUUUGCAUGUUGUCGUUGCAAAAUGAUGAGAGUAACACUGCAAGAUCACUAAACAUAGAGCUGAAAAACACAACAACAUGGAAUGACAUGGAACAUAGUAGAACAACAUGCAAUAUGGAGUUUCACGUCAUAUGAAGCUUUAAACAAAGAUUUAAUUUACAACACAUAGUUUACAAUAUAUUUUUUGUGGGCAAUGGCACAGGUUUCCACUAAUAUAACAUAAUACAUGAAACACUAGAAUCCUCAAUAUAUAUAAGUUAUUCAUAGAUAAAAAAUAAAAUAAAAUAGAUCAGUGCAAAAUUUUCAAUCUGAUAUCAUUUCACAACUUGUCAACAUACAUUGUGAAAUGGUAUUUUAUAACUUAAACAUUGUACAUAAAAUCAAAAUUAAUUCAUGAUCAUAAUUUCGUUUGCAAAAAUUCAAUUCAAGAAAUGAAAACUAGAUUAACCAUCACGUAAAUAUUUACUUUGGAUAACAUUAUAUAACAUUUAAUGAAACCUACUUCUAAUACAUUUUUUUUUGUUUUUUUUAUCAUAUAUACUCAAUGCCAAAGUUUGCUGAAUAGAGAUCAAAGAGAAUUAUUUUGAAAAGCAUAAAUAUUUUAAAAUAAAUAAAAAAAAGAAUACACACACUGAAAAAUAACGAAAUUUGUCGUAUUAUGCCUAAUUACCUUCGAAGAUUGCUUUGAAUCAUACUGCCAAGGAAACGAAUAAUUCCUCAAACUUUAUUAAUAACAUUGGAUGAAACACGCAUUAGAUGAAAAAUCCUUCAUCCACACGCCGUGUUGGUCAUUCGUUGCCACCGACGAGACUGGAGGGCUAGCCCCCAGAAAAUGAUCCAGAAAACGAUCGAUGACAUCCAUCCCAAACAGCAUUCAUCAAAGAGAUGAAUAUCAUCCAAUAGACUUGUGUAAUAAAUAUAUAUACUGGAGUGGCUCCGUCUCAUCAUCAUUCUCUCCUGUGCCCUAACUCUGCAUUGCGGCCCUCAUGGGCGAUCUUCGCAGAGCGUGGACAGACCUUCCUAGUAGCUGUAUUGCCUAGCGAUUGCUUAGCUUUUCUGUGUUCCUUCAGUGUGUACUGAACUUCGUAUGCUGCUCAGUCUUUAGGUGGCCUCAUUUCGGCUUUUGUAGAGAUUUAUGGUGUUUUUUUACGUGUAUUCUUUGUACAUUACGAGAGCCGCGCGCUCUGGAGGUUUGAUGAGUAAUGGCAUUGACUUAGGGUUUGAGUUAAUGUUUUAAAUUUAUUUUGGUGCAUAUGAGGAAAGAAAUUAGCAUUCACCUGAUUUCGAUGAUGCACAACACCUUGGAGAACUGAUGCAUUUUGGGGUUAGGGAUAUGGUCUUUGAGCCGAUGAUUAUUGUUAAUUGGAAUUACCGGCUGAUGGUUUCAAUGUAAGCCAGAAUGCUGUGAACUGGCUGACUGAGGCUUUCGAAUAGUAGACAGUAGCACCUUGCAUCUACAACGCAGGAACUUAGUGUUGAUUUCCUCUGCAUAGGAGGUUGGUGUCGCCAUUUGGUAUCUCAUCUACUCUGCUAUUACA